GAGUUUGAUCCUGGCUCAGAGCGAACGCUGGCGGCAGGCCUAACACAUGCAAGUCGAACGGUCCUUCGGGACAGUGGCGGACGGGUGAGUAACACGUGGGAACGUGCCCUUAGGUUCGGAAUAACUCAGGGAAACUUGAGCUAAUACCGGAUGUGCCCGAGAGGGGAAAGAUUUAUCGCCUUUGGAGCGGCCCGCGUCUGAUUAGCUAGUUGGUGAGGUAAAGGCUCACCAAGGCGACGAUCAGUAGCUGGUCUGAGAGGAUGAUCAGCCACACUGGGACUGAGACACGGCCCAGACUCCUACGGGAGGCAGCAGUGGGGAAUCUUGCGCAAUGGGCGAAAGCCUGACGCAGCCAUGCCGCGUGGAUGAUGAAGGUCUUAGGAUUGUAAAACUCUUUCGACGGGGACGAUAAUGACGGUACCCGUAGAAGAAGCUCCGGCUAACUUCGUGCCAGCAGCCGCCGUAAG
rnacentral:rRNA from 1 species